UACGUAGGGGGCAAGCGUUGUCCGGAUUUACUGGGCGUAAAGAGCGUGUAGGCGGCCAAACAGGUCCGUUGUGAAAACUGGAGGCUCAACCUCCAGACGUCGACGGAAACCGUGUGGCUAGAGUCCGGAAGAGGAGAGUGGAAUUCCUGGUGUAGCGGUGAAAUGCGCAGAUAUUCGCAAGAACACCAGUGGCGAAGGCGGCUCACUGGCCCGGUACUGACGCUGAGGUGAACGAAGCGGAGG
rnacentral:rRNA from 1 species